rnacentral:lncRNA from 1 species
GUGAUUUCGGGGCCUUUUAUAGCUGAAUAUGUGAAAUGUUGUCUCUUUGACACAUUCCCAUGUUCCUUUCUCUAAUUUUUAUUAUGCUUAUGUUGAAGAGCGUAUGGUGAUAUAUGGCUGUUAAUUUCUGCGUCAUUUAGUCUCUUGUGAGAAAUUGUCUCAUUGGCAAUCAUACCACAUCUUCGUUUUAAUAUCAACCCCUGCCAUAUUCUUUAUGAACCUGUCCC